rnacentral:rRNA from 1 species
AGCGAACGCUGGCGGCAGGCCUAACACAUGCAAGUCGAACGAACCUUUCGGGGUUAGUGGCGGACGGGUGAGUAACACGUGGGAACGUGCCUUUAGGUUCGGAAUAACUCAGGGAAACUUGUGCUAAUACCGAAUGUGCCCUUCGGGGGAAAGAUUUAUCGCCUUUAGAGCGGCCCGCGUCUGAUUAGCUAGUUGGUUGAGGUAAUGGCUCACCAAGGCGACGAUCAGUAGCUGGUCUGAGAGGAUGAUCAGCCACAUUGGGACUGAGACACGGCCCAAACUCCUACGGGAGGCAGCAGUGGGGAAUCUUGCGCAAUGGGCGAAAGCCUGACGCAGCCAUGCCGCGUGAAUGAUGAAGGUCUUAGGAUUGUAAAAUUCUUUCACCGGGGACGAUAAUGACGGUACCCGGAGAAGAAGCCUCGGCUAACUUCGUG